rnacentral:lncRNA from 1 species
UUUUUUUUUUUUUUUUUUGAAAACCAGAACACAAGGUAUGCCAGAUCCACCACAAAUACAGAAAAUCCACUGUUCACACGGACAGAGUCUCCCCUGUAUUUGCACGGCGUCGCACAAGUACAAGAAUAAAAACAGGAUACAACCACAACUAAAUGAAUAUCAAGUCAUCAUACAUUCAAUAUCCAUACACCAUUCACCACAGGUUCAUAAACAGAGAUCUGAUUAUAAAUCUACAACUAUCAGUUAAAACGUUUCCUACCCGAAAACUGGUUUUGAAAUACUAAGUUACGAAAGAUCCGAGAAAACAUUUUAAAAACUAUUUUUCACACAAAAACCUUUUUCUUUUUAAAAUCACGCUACGACGAGGGAUAGAAAAUCAUUUCCAUUUUACAAAACCGUAAAUCCUUUAUUCAUUUCCAGAAAUUCAGAUUACACAAUUGUAAUAACAAACUGAACCAAUAACUGUCUAAGUCAAAUAAUCCGAAAUAAUGAAAGUAACAGCAAAACUAAACAAACCGGAUCGGAAGCUCUAUCAACUGCUACGAACGUGUCUCACGUCUCGUCUCAUAUCUCACCACCCGCAAUACCUGAAAAAUAGUGGGGGAGGUGAGAACAUGUAAACAUGUCUCCCCUCCCAGUGGGUACCGCAAGCCGAUGAAGGCGAGGAGUACUAACCGGAUCAGAAAGAGAUAUAU